CUAAAAACGCUGUGCUAAAUGAGAAGAAAGAUAAUAGGGCUGUGUCUUCCUCAUGGCUUUGCUACAGACAGCAAAGUUGGCGAUUUUGAUUCUCCAUAAACUCAAGUGCUUCAUGAGAGUUUCCAUGGAAGUAAAUGGGAGGCAUUACUUUUGGAGCAAGCUAUGUGUGAAUGAAGAUGUGUAUUAUGCAUGAAGUCUUCAAUUUGAGAAAGUCAGUGCAGCAAAAGGAAACAAGAAUGAUUCCAUUAAAGAAGGACAAGGCAGGAGAGGAACAAAUAUAGUGCUGAAGCAAUGUGUUUCUGCUGUAAGGGGAAACUCAGCUAGUGCAUCAGCAAGACCCAGGGGCACAGUGUGAUGGCACUAGUGGCAAUGAAACAUGAUAGAAGAAGG
rnacentral:lncRNA from 1 species